UGAUGGUAUACCUUGACUGGCAAAUACGUAAAGCCCCUGUGCGUUACCAAUAACUUGAGAGGUAAGUUCAGGACCAACUGUUAGAGGAUCAUCAAUGGCAUAUACGUCGCCAAAUUGGCUUCCUGACUUGUUUCUGUUAGCUUGUGCUACCAAGACAGCACUAGGGUUUUUGCCACUGAGAGUGUCAUGGAAGAAGAAGUGGAGAUUGGUAACUUUCUUCUCCUUUGAUAUGUAUCGACGAGUCUGAGAGUAGCGUUGGGAAUACACUGGGGUGGCAGCGAGGCAAAGGAUGAAAGCUAGCUCCAAAAUUUUCCUGGCUUCCAUUUUGAAAUCUUUUCUGCUUCAAGAAUCUGCUUACUGUUAUUUUCUCUGCUUGAUUGUAUAUAAAUAUAAAACCCAUACAUCAGUGGUUUGGCA
rnacentral:misc_RNA from 1 species